rnacentral:tRNA from 1 species
CAAAUAUAAAGAUUAAAACUUUUUUUAGAA